rnacentral:rRNA from 1 species
AUGCGGCCAAUCCAAACGCAGCCCCGGCCGUCAUGUCCAGCAUGCGGUGGCCAGCGCGCGGCUGCGGAUGCGCUCACACGUGGCGGCCAGCACGCACAGCACGCGGCUGCACGGAUGGGAGGAGGACGCCGCGGGGAGCCUCGCGGAGCACGGAGCAGGUCGCAUCUGGCGGUGGUGGUGGGCGGAGCAGGAGCAGCAGCAACGGCGCGUGCGCGAGCUCUGGCCCCAGAGCAUCGACGGCGCCAUGCGUGCACGAGCUCCGACCCCGGCAUGGCGCGUGUGCGAGCUCGUGGUCGUCGUGGUCUUCUGUGUGGCUGCAGGUGGGGUCUUUCGUUCAAUGUGGAUGAGCACUGCCCGGGCGUGACCAGUCAGCCUCAUAUUGUCCAUGUAUUUUAG